rnacentral:misc_RNA from 1 species
GCCACCAAAACUUUAUUGUCUUUUGAAGUAUAGAUGAUUUGUACAAAUCUGAAGUUAGCAUUAUCAUGAAAUAUGGAAAAUCAAUACCUUGAAAAUCGUCUAUUUGUACACGUAAAUAUAAAGAAAAGUUACAUUAGAUAAUCUUGAUCACACACUUCAAUUUCUUCAGAAAAAGAGCUUCACUUCCCACCCUUAGCAUAGUUAUCGCGUAGAGUGACAGUCCGAUUAAAGACCAGUUUUUCAGAAGUUGAAUCCUUGUCAACAGCAAAAUACCCGAGCCUUUCAAACUGAAAUCUGUCUCCAAGAGUAGCCUUACUAACUGAGGGCACAGCAUAUGCAUUUUGUAUAACCACUUUAGACUCAGGGCUCAAAUCACCAAGCCAGUCAUCGAGUUCGGCAGGAUUCUCAGAGCGGAACAGCCUGUCAAAUAGCCGGACCUCCACCUUAAGUGGAUCAGCCCCAGGUGAAGGUUCUGCAACCCAAUGAAGAACACCCUUAGGCUUAAUGGUCUUGGAUGGAUCAUACUCUGCCCGAAUCUCAAGAACUGUCUCUUUGUCAUCAGCAAGAAUUACAUCUGUACACUUGAUAGGGUAUGCAUACCUCAAUAGGACAGAUUUUCCAGGAGCAAGACCAUAAUAAUCUUUAGAAUCUUUCAAACGAAAAUCUGUACGUUCGAUGUACACAACGCUAGAAAAGGGGACCUUAUAAAACGACGAAGCGUCAUCUGCUGGUGCUUCAGGCCAUUUCUUCGCAUCUAGAUCCAUUACUAAUCCAGCUUCAAGGUUUGUGAUGACAACCUUAAGGGGAUUUAGCACAACUAGUGUCCGAGCAGCUGUUUUAUUAAGUUCUUCUCUUAUAUGGUAUUCCAGGCGACUUAGCUGUAU